rnacentral:rRNA from 1 species
GCCCUACGGGGCGCAGCAGGCGCGAAACCUCUGCAAUGCGGGAAACCGUGACAGGGGGAUCCCAAGUGCUCAUGCAUUGCAUGGGCUGUUCUUUGGUCUAAGUAACCAGAGGAGUAAGGGCUGGGCAAGACCGGUGCCAGCCGCCGCGGCAAUACCGGCAGCUCAAGUGGUAGCCGCGAUUAUUGGGCCUAAAACGUUCGUAGCCGGAUAAGUAAGUCUUUGGUUAAAUCCUGCGACUCAACCGUGGGAAUUCUAGAGAUACUGCUCGUCUUGAGACCGGGAGAGGUUGGAGGUACUCCUAGGGUAGGGGUGAAAUCCUGUAAUCCUAGGGGGACCACCUGUGGCGAAGGCGUCCAACUGGAACGGGUCUGACGGUGAGGGACGAAACCUAGGGGAGCGAGCCGGAUUAGAUACCCGGGUAGUCCUAGGCGUAAAUGAUGCGAGUUAAGUGUGGGGGCAUCUACGAGAUGGCCCUGUGCUGUAGGGUAGCCGUUAAACUCGCUGCCUGGGGAGUACGGUCGUAAGGCUGAAACUUAAAGGAAUUGGCGGGGGAGCACCACAAGAGGUGGAGGCUGCGGUUCAAUUGGACUCAACGCCGGAAAACUCAUCG